UACGUAGGGUGCAAGCGUUGUCCGGAAUUAUUGGGCGUAAAGAGCUCGUAGGCGGUUUGUCGCGUCUGCUGUGAAAUCUGGGGGCUCAACCCCCAGCCUGCAGUGGGUACGGGCAGACUAGAGUGCGGUAGGGGAGAUUGGAAUUCCUGGUGUAGCGGUGGAGUGCGCAGAUAUCAGGAGGAACACCAAUGGCGAAGGCAGAUCUCUGGGCCGUAACUGACGCUGAGGAGCGAAAGCAUGGGGAGCGAACAGG
rnacentral:rRNA from 1 species